rnacentral:ncRNA from 2 species
UGCUGGCUUUAGGGGUAUUCUGUAAAGAAUUGAGAGAGUCCCUUUGAACCUGAUUCGGUUUAUACCGGCGUAGGGAAAAGCGUAUCUGUAUAC